AGAGUGAACGCUGGCGGUAGGCCUAACACAUGCAAGUCGAACGGCAGCACAGUGGUAGCAAUACCAUGGGUGGCGAGUGGCGGACGGGUGAGGAAUACAUCGGAAUCUACCUUUUCGUGGGGGAUAACGUAGGGAAACUUACGCUAAUACCGCAUACGCCCUUCGGGGGAAAGCCGGGGAUCGCAAGACCUGGCGCGGAUAGAUGAGCCGAUGUCGGAUUAGCUAGUUGGUGAGGUAAUGGCUCACCAAGGCGACGAUCCGUA
rnacentral:rRNA from 1 species